UGUUCAGUGCUUCCACAAUAAACCAUUUGACUGUAGAUGUAGUAAAAUCCUUCAACAUUUAUCGUGAUACGCCCGUUGCUAUAGGCAAUGUCUCCGGCCUCUUGUGAAAUUUUCCAAAACGAAACGGCUGCAGCUGUAAUGUAACAAACAUUUGCCUGUUUUUUAAACUGGCGCGUCAUAUAAGGCUGCUAUAGUAUGCAUUUUUCGCAAAUCGUACCUUCCAAGUUGUUCAAAUUUUUAUCUUGUCUUCCAUCGCCGGUCAUAUGAAGUAAUGGAGUUUCCUGAUAAUAAUUUCAGUUAAUAAUUGAGAAACAUAGAAAUAAUGAUAUAGCCAUAAAAAUAAGAUAACAUACGAUACAUGCAGUCACCGUACUUGAGUAUUUGUCAAUGAAUUUUUUCCGCAGGAUUUAUCACAGACGCCUUGAUCACCUGUCAAUAUAAAACGUACGUUUGAAAAUUGAAUUUUUCCCAGCUUGCAUGCAUGUUGGUAGCACAUGUGUAAUACCGAUUAAUACGCACUAUUAAUAGUUUUUGCCUCGCAUUUGGUUCAAACAAAACGUGAGAUUAAUGUGAGAUGAUCUGCAAUCUUUUACCCCGUGCAUAAAAUCCUGCAUGCGCUUCUUUUUAAACAAAAAACCUUUCGUACAUGACCAUUUAUAUAAACAUCACAAAAUUUACAAUAUAUAAUUUUAAUUUAAGUUUAAGUUUGUAAAUUACUGUAAAUUACAAGAGUUGAUAGUCUACCUUUCUCCCCUUUCAUUCCAUUGCUUCCAGUCUUUCCAGGCAAACCAAUUUCACCGUUUCUCCCUGGAUCGCCUUUCUGACCUGCGUAUAGAAAUCCUUGUUGUCAUAAUAUGCGCACGCACCCACUGAAGCGUUUGUUCGCGUCUUUCCACGCGACAAUAAAACUUCAAAUCGUUUUCAGAAUUUUUGAAGAAGAGAAACAAUCAGAAUUUUUGAAGAGGAGAGGUAUAGACGCAAAAACAGCAAUACGUGUAAUGUCUGUUACUCGUAUUGUUGAUGCAGACAGGGGACUAAUAUUGAUAGAUGGGGUGCAACGGAGAGAAAAUAGUAAAAUAGAAAAUAUUGACCAAGGUUGAAUUGGGAAACUUGGUACUUAAGUGGUUGAGUAAAAAAUACUAGGGCGCUGCAUACAUACAUGCACGUACUUGCCAUUUGAACUAAAUCUUACACAUGCAAUUGUUCUACAGUUAAACAUGUUUCACAAUGGGCAUAAACUGUUAAAAGUUUACACUUUACUUCGUUGAAGAGAAGUGUGGUGGCUAAUAUUUGACAUGCACUGAUUUGCGACUCUUUUAAUUUAGAUCUUCUGGCAUAAAAAUUUGGCGAACUGACUUUUAAAGGAAUACCUUCUUCUCCUAAAAUUACGAGAUACAGACAUCGUUAGUAUCAUCACUGGGUCGAUGUGGCGUCUACAACUGUAUGAAUAGUUUAUGACCAUACAAGAGCGGUAUUAUAUACCUUUAUCCCCCUUUUCUCCUUUAUCUCCUAUAUUACCAACAAUUCCUCUAUCACCUUUAUCACCUGUA
rnacentral:lncRNA from 1 species